rnacentral:rRNA from 1 species
CGUAGUCAACCUGCCUUAAAGACAUAGAUAACCCCGGGAAACUGGGAUUAAUAUAUGAUAGGUCAUUUUUCCUGGAAUCGGUUUAUGACUUAAAAGAUAAUCGAGCAUGUUUGAUUUAUUGCUUUAAGAUGGGACUGCGGCCGAUCAGGUUGUUGGUGAGGUAAUGGCUCACCAAGCCGAUUACCGGUGCGGGCUUUGAGAGAAGGAGCCCGGAGAUGGACACUGAGAAAAGGGUCUAGGCCCUACGGGGCGCAGCAGGCGCGAAAACUUCGCAAUGUGCGAAAGCACGACGAGGUUAAUCCGAGUGCAACAUGCUGAAUGUAGCUUUUGAUAAGUGUAAGUAGUUUAUUGAAUAAGGGGAGGGAAAGUCUGGUGUCAGCCGCCGCGGUAAUACCAGCUCCCCGAGUGGUUGGGACGAUUAUUGGGCCUAAAGCAUCCGUAGCCCGUUCUGUAGGUCUUAUGUUAAAACCAAUUGCUUAACAAUUGGAUCGCAUGAGAUACCACAAAACUAGGAGGCGGGAGAGGUGGACGGUACUCCACGGGUAGGGGUAAAAUCCUCUGAACCAUGGAAGACCACCAGUGGCGAAGGCGGUCCACCAGAACGCGCUCGACGGUGAGGGAUGAAGCUGGGGUAGCGAACCGGAUUAGAUACCCGGGUAGUCCCAGCUGUAAACGAUGCAAGCUAGGUGAUGCAUUAGCCAUGUGUUAAUGCAGUGCCGCAGGGAAGCCGUUAAGCUUGCCGCCUGGGGAGUACGGUCGCAAGGCUGAAACUUAAAGGAAUUGGC